AUGGAUCGCCGAGGUGGUAUAACUCAAACUGACCUGGAGUAUAUGCUACAUGAUGAAGAUGCAGAGCCAAUGGCUCUGCCAUUCCCUCUCUUGGAGAAAAUCACAGAUUAUUUUUCUGACGAGUUGAUAAUUGGAAGAGGUGGCUGUGCGGUGGUUUAUAAGGCAAUACUUGAUAAUGGCGUUCUCGCUGUAAAGAGGCUGCCAAAUACGUACAUGUAUGAGGAACAAUUCCACCGAGAGGUGGAAUGUCUAAUGAAAGUGAAGCACAAAAACAUUGUCCGAUUUCUGGGAUAUUGUGCUGACACCCAAGGGAAUAUGGGAAGCUACAAUGGGAAAAUGGUUAUGGCAGAUGUACAACAAAGACUGCUCUGCUUCGAGUAUCUGCCCAGGGGAAGUCUUGAUCAUUAUAUUACAGAUUCAUCUGGAGGACUUGAAUGGGUAAAGCGCUUCCAAGUAAUAAAAGGCAUAUGCGAAGGGCUAAAUUAUCUUCACCAAAACAAUAUCAUGCACUUGGAUCUAAAACCCGGGAAUAUAUUAUUGGAUGAAGAUAUGAUGCCAAAAAUUACUGACUUCGGACUAUCAAGGUGUUUUGAGGAAGACCAAACACGUGUGAUUACUAAGAAUGUGGGCGGAACAUUGGGAUACCUGGCACCAGAAUUCCAUGAGGGUGAAAUCACACACAAAUUUGACGUGUAUAGUCUUGGUGUUAUUAUUAUGGAGAUGUUGACUGGAAAGAAGAGGUGUGAAAGUAUCGCAGAUGUACGUGAAAGUUGGAGUUAUAAGUCAGAUAUAUUGUGGUGGGAUCAAAUACGAGUAUGUGCUGAGAUUGGGAUCGAGUGCACAGACUUAAAACCAGCCAACAGACCAGAAAGUAUGAAACAUAUAAUUGAUAGACUUUUAUCAACAGAAUGCAGCACACAUGUAAUCCCAGUAGAAAAAGAAGAGUUACCACGAAAGUGGAUCACAGAUGUGAUCCUCCACGGUGCUUCGCUAAUAUUAGGGGGUUAUGAGCAUAUAAAGACUUUCCAAAGCCAACCAGACAAGUAUUUUCAAGAGAUGGGGAAUGCAGUGCAGGAGGUGGAACUAAAAGCACUUUAUACUCCACCACAACACACCACAACAUCGACGUAUGAGCCAAUCCCGCCCACAAUCAAGAUAAUAUGCAAGGUAAAAGAUCUAGGCCAGUAUUCCCUGGAUACAAACCAGGCCAAGCAGUGUAUAAUUAUAGGAGAAGAGAAUGGGCAUGUUGGCUUUUGGGACCAUCAGACACAGGCAUGUAACAGUGUUGUCCUUUUCCCGAUAAAGAAUAUUGAUGCCUCUCAGCACUAA
rnacentral:rRNA from 1 species